GUAGUCUCGCACAGAUGCAUAUCAAUAAGCGGAGGAAAAGAAACUAACAAGGAUUCCCCUAGUAACGGCGAGUGAAGCGGGAAGAGCUCAAAUUUGAAAUCUUAAAGGGUUUCCCUUUACGAAUUGUAGUUUAAAGAAGUGUUUUCUGUUGAGGUUUUGGUAAAAGUUCUUUGGAAUAGGACAUCAUAGAGGGUGAGAAUCCCGUAUUUGACCUUUACUUUCAACUUUGUGAUACACUUUCAAAGAGUCGGAUUGUUUGGGAAUGCAGUCCAAAAUGGGUGGUAAAUUUCAUCUAAAGCUAAAUAUUGGCGAGAGACCGAUAGCGAACAAGUACCGUGAGGGAAAGAUGAAAAGAACUUUGAAAAGAGAGUUAAACAGUACGUGAAAUUGUCAAAAGGGAAGCGUUUGACACCAGUGUUGUUUUUCUGAAAAUCAAUUAAAGAACUGUUUAUGCUAAGUUGUUUAGACUUUAUCAGCUAACUGUUUAGUUUUGAGCUUUUCUUUAAUGCACUUUUCAGUUAACGAAGUCAACAUCAAUUUCUUUUGCUGUAAAAAAGCUUGAGGAAGGUGGCUUGAGAUUCGUCUUAAGUGUUUAUAGCCUCUUGCCUAUGCAGUCGGAGAGAUUGAGGUCUGCAGCGUAGAUCCUUCGGGGCUAAAUGCAUUUGUGCUAAGUUAUAGCAUUUUAUAGACAACUUGUUGACUAUGAUUUGUCUUGUAGCUUACUCGCUUAUGUUAUUUUACCUACGCUUAGGAUGUUGAGUAGCGACAUACGCAC
rnacentral:rRNA from 1 species